UACGGAGGGUGCGAGCGUUAAUCGGAAUUACUGGGCGUAAAGCGCACGCAGGCGGUUUGUUAAGCUAGAUGUGAAAGCCCCGGGCUCAACCUGGGAUGGUCAUUUAGAACUGGCAGACUAGAGUCUUGGAGAGGGGAGUAGAAUUCCAGGUGUAGCGGUGAAAUGCGUAGAUAUCUGGAGGAACAUCAGUGGCGAAGGCGACUCCCUGGCCAAAGACUGACGCUCAUGUGCGAAAGUGUGGGUAGCGAACAGG
rnacentral:rRNA from 1 species